AGUGAACGCUGGCGGUAGGCCUAACACAUGCAAGUCGAACGGCAGCACAGUAAGAGCUUGCUCUUACGGGUGGCGAGUGGCGGACGGGUGAGGAAUACAUCGGAAUCUACUUUUUCGUGGGGGAUAACGUAGGGAAACUUACGCUAAUACCGCAUACGACCUACGGGUGAAAGCAGGGGAUCUUCGGACCUUGCGCGAUUGAAUGAGCCGAUGUCGGAUUAGCUAGUUGGCGGGGUAAAGGCCCACCAAGGCGACGAUCCGUAGCUGGUCUGAGAGGAUGAUCAGCCACACUGGAACUGAGACACGGUCCAGACUCCUACGGGAGGCAGCAGUGGGGAAUAUUGGACAAUGGGCGAAAGCCUGAUCCAGCCAUACCGCGUGGGUGAAGAAGGCCUUCGGGUUGUAAAGCCCUUUUGUUGGGAAAGAAAAGCAGCAGGUUAAUACCCCGCUGUUCUGACGGUACCCAAAGAAUAAGCAACGGCUAACUUCGUG
rnacentral:rRNA from 1 species